rnacentral:rRNA from 1 species
GGGAUGAACCAAACGCCGGGUUACGGCGCCCGAUGCGGACGCUCAUCAGACCCCAUGAAAGGUGUUGGUUGCUAUAGACAGCAGGACGGKGGCCAUGGAAGUCGGAAUCCGCUAAGGAGUGUGUAACAACUCACCUGCCGAAGCAACUAGCCCUGAAAAUGGAUGGCGCUCCAGCGUAGAGCCCAUACCCGGCCGCCGGUGGCAUAAGAGAGAUUUAAGAGCCUGAGAAAAAGAAUUUAUUUUUUUUCGAACGAGCAAACUGAAACGAAAAAAAAAUGCCCCGGCGAGUAGGAGGGUCGCAGCGGCGUGCGUUGAAGGUGUCGGGCGUGGGCCCGCCUGGAGCCGCCGCUGGUGCAGAUCUUGGUGGUAGUAGCAAAUACUCGAGUGAGAACCUUGAGGACUGAAGUGGAGAAGGGUUCCAUGUGAACAGCAGUYGAACAUGGGUCAGUCGGUCCUAAGGAAUAGGGGAAACCCGUUCCGAAUUGUUUGGGGAGGAGCGAGAAAGAGAAAGAAAGAAAGAAGGAAAGAGCUCUCCCAAUGCGACCGAAAGGGAAUCGGGUUAAUAUUCCCGAACCUGGAUGCGGAGAUCGGCCCUUCGGGGCCCAAUGCGGCAACGCAAACGAACUCGGAGAAGUCGGCGGGGGUCCCGGGAAGAGUUGUCUUUUCUUUGUAAGGGACGAACUCCCUGGAAUCGGCUCGCCCGGAGAGAGGGAUGUUGUUCCCGUAAAGCACCGCGGCUCUUGCGGUGUCCGGAGCACUCCCGCCGGCCCUUGAAAAUCCGAGGGAGAGAGAAUGAUUUUCGCACCAGUCCGUACCCAUAUCCGCAGCAG